rnacentral:rRNA from 1 species
GACGAACGCUGGCGGCGUGCUUAACACAUGCAAGUCGAACGGAAAGGCCCUGCUUUUGUGGGGUGCUCGAGUGGCGAACGGGUGAGUAACACGUGAGUAGCCUGCCCUUGACUUUGGGAUAACUUCAGGAAACUGGGGCUAAUACCGGAUAGGAGCUCCUGCUGCAUGGUGGGGGUUGGAAAGUUUCGGCGGUUGGGGAUGGACUCGCGGCUUAUCAGCUUGUUGGUGGGGUAGUGGCUUACCAAGGCUUUGACGGGUAGCCGGCCUGAGAGGGUGACCGGCCACAUUGGGACUGAGAUACGGCCCAGACUCCUACGGGAGGCAGCAGUGGGGAAUAUUGCACAAUGGGCGGAAGCCUUAUGCAGCAACGCCGCGUGCGGGAUGACGGCCUUCGGGUUGUAAACCGCUUUCGCCUGUGACGAAGCGUGAGUGACGGUAAUGGGUAAAGAAGCACCGGCUAACUACGUG